AAUAAACGCUAGGGGAGCCUCACGGCUGAGAAUAUAUCGCGGUAUCAUGAUAUUAACCCUCAUUACUUGAUUCGGGUCAUUCCGACGUAGGGAAGCAGAUUUCUUUCUAC
rnacentral:ncRNA from 2 species